GAGACUGUAGCACAACCGGUAGUGCAGCGGCCUUUUAAGUCGCAGGUUGCGAGAUCGUACCUCGCCAGUCUCA
rnacentral:tRNA from 1 species